rnacentral:lncRNA from 1 species
GUUAUUGUGUGUCUAGUUAGCAAAUAUGGAUUACAUGAUCCAUAUAGAUCAAUUCGGAAUCUUUGAGCAAGAUCCAAACAAUUUUUAUGAAAAUUUGAUAACCUAGAAAAACAUAAUAGCACUCCUUUGCAAAAAUUCAAAUCAAUAAAAACAUGAUUUUUAUUUCCACCGUCAAGAUGUGCUAUAGUGGAAAGUGACACAUUGCUUACUUUGAUCAUUACUAAUUAAAUA